rnacentral:rRNA from 1 species
GACGAACGCUGGCGGCGUGCUUAACACAUGCAAGUCGAACGGAAAGGCCCUGCUUUUGUGGGGUGCUCGAGUGGCGAACGGGUGAGUAACACGUGAGUAACCUGCCCUUGACUUUGGGAUAACUUCAGGAAACUGGGGCUAAUACCAGAUAGCAGCUCCUGCUGCAUGGUGGGGGUUGGAGAGUUUCGGCGGUUGGGGAUGGACUCGCGGCUUAUCAGCUUGUUGGUGGGGUAGUGGCUUACCAAGGCUUUGACGGGUAGCCGGCCUGAGAGGGUGACCGGCCACAUUGGGACUGAGAUACGGCCCAGACUCCUACGGGAGGCAGCAGUGGGGAAUAUUGCACAAUGGGCGGAAGCCUGAUGCAGCAACGCCGCGUGCGGGAUGACGGCCUUCGGGUUGUAAACCGCUUUCGCCUGUGACGAAGCGUGAGUGACGGUAAUGGGUAAAGAAGCACCGGCUAACUACGUG